rnacentral:lncRNA from 1 species
ACACCAUAGCUCAAGAUCCCUGACAUAGCAGGACACAGCAGGCUCCUGGUCAGGCUGGAAGCAUCCAGUCUUUGGUGCCCAGGUGUCGCACACAGUCAAGAAGUCUGUGAGGUGGCCAAACUCUUCAGAUUUCCCACAGUCUGUACUGAGAGUAGGGGCACGAACAGGUCUGGGAAAUAAAGAAAAGUGACCUUUUAGGAGACUGUGUCCUUCUUUACAUCCUGUCUGUGGCCUCAGAGGUCAGGGGCAUGGCCAUGUGAGGCCAGAGAAGGUUCCAGGCUGACGACUGACUAGCACGCCCACAUUCCUGUGCAGUCUCAAAGCAGACAGGUCAGAUUCAGAUCUCAAUCCCACCUCCAGACCCAGACUGACCCUCGUUUUUCCAUCUGCUGGGUCAUGCGUCCAUAACAGAGCUGCCGAGAGGAUUAAGUGAGGCAGAUGUGAAAAGUGCAUUUGUCUCUUACACCCACAGGGGAUACACGCUUGCUCCCAGCAGCUCCUGAAGCCAGAACGCCAUACAUUAUGACGUCUUUCUUUACAUAAACUGUGACAAAUUUUAAUUUAUAAAUUAGGCCCAGUAAGAGAUCAGCAACAAUAAUAAAAUAGAACAGUUAUUCACUUUGUUCUGUAAUAACUUAUUUUCCAUGCUGAAAGAAAAAUAGAACAAUUAAAAAUAUAAUAGAGCCUGGCAAGAUGGUUCAGUGUGUAAAGGUGUUUGCCACCUUGUGUCACCAAGCUUCACAGUGUGAGUUUAAUCCCUGGGAGUCACGUGGCGGAAGGAGAGAACCAGCCUCUGGAAGGUGACCUCUGACCGCCACCUCCACUCUCACACUGUCACAGGUAUGCAUGUGUACACACAUACAAAACAGAUACAGUAAAUAUUUAAAAACUUGUGUGAACUCAACAUACAACUUUAAAAUUGUAUCAAGUCAAGAACUU